GGAAUUUGUGAAGUUUAUGUAAAGCUUGCUUGAUUUGGCUAAGAUGAUGCAAUCCAUGGAAGAAACCAGAAGGGAAGUAGCCACCAUGUUCAAAUCAAAAUCCGGAUUAAGCGAAAAUGAGGGAGGUGAUGGAUCGAGGAGCAAUUUUGAAGGACCUGUGCUUCGAGGCAAACCACUGGAGGGCAGGGAGAACCCACUAGUCCCAGAUCGAGGGAAGUGGCCAGUUGGAGGUGAGGAGGCUAGUUAUGGUGGAGCUGCCAAUAACGUAACACUGAACAAAGAAGAGAAGGGGUGGCAGCAGGUGCGUAAACUUGAAAUGCCCAUUUUUCUGUGGCGAUAACCCAGAUGUGUGGCUGUUCCAAGCUGAACGGUAUUUUGAAGUCAAUGGGUUGACGGAGCGAGAGAAGUUAGGAGCUGUUGCAAUGCGAUCAGCUUAGAAGGAGAGGCCCUAGAUUGGUUUCAGUGAACAGAAACACGAUCCCCCUUCCACACAUGGCAGCACUUCCAGCAACAAUUGCUACUGCGAUUCAGGUCUACACAAGAAGGAAACCUAUGUGAGCGGUUUUUGGCUAUUAAGCAGGUUGGGAGCGUAGCAGAAUUCCGUCGGGAGUUUGAAUCGUUGGCAGCACCGUUGAGAGAGGUCUCAGACGAAGUCCUUGAAAGUACCUUCAUAAAUGGGCUGAGACCAGAUGUAAGGGCAGAGUUAAGAUUAUUGGGCCCAAGAGGAUUAGGCCCAAUUAUGGAAACGGCCUAAAAGAUUGAAGACCGCAAUCUGGUUGUUAGAAGUUUCCAGGAAUCCACAGCCCAGAAAACAUUCAAACCCAAUCUCUUGAUGUCGCGACCAGAAGCCAGGAGAUGCGAGACUUUACCGACCAAAACCAUCACCGUGGGGAAACGAGCGGCAGUCACAAAACGCGAGGGUCCAGUGAGGCGAUUGACUAAUGUGGAAUGGCAAUGGAACAAAGAAAGAGGCCUUUGCUUCAGGUGCGAUGAGAAAUUUACAGUAGGUCUCCAAUGUCGGAACCAUGAGCUUCGGGUACUGCUGGUACAGGACGGCGACCUCGAUGACGAGUCUGAGUCUGAUUGUUAGGCGGAGGAACCUCUCAUAGAAGUGGCAGCAAAAGAAAAGUUGUCCUUGAAUUUAGUGGUAGGUUUGACAAUCCUUGGGACUAUGAAGGUAAGGGAGGAAAUAGAGUAAAAGGAAGUCGUCAUCCUUAUUGACUGUGAAGCCACGUACAACUUUAUCUCAUCAAGAUUGGUAAGAAGUUAGGGCUGCCGACCACAGCCACCACGAAUUAUGGGGUCAUCAUGGGCUCCGGAGAAUCUAUGAAGGGAAAAGGGAUAUGCAGGGGAAUUAUUGUGAAGUUACAAGGGUUGACUGUAGUUGAGGAUUUUCUCCCAAUAAAAUUAGAUGGAACAGAUGUAGUUUUGGGAAUGCAGUGGCUGCGUACUUUGGGUAACAUGGAAGUCAACUGGAAGCUCCUCACCAUGCGAAUCCAGUUAGGUGAUUCAGUGAUGGUUUUGAAAGGAGACACCGGGCUCCAUAAAUCGGGAAUUUCCCUCAAAGCCAUGGUAAACACAUUACAGCGUGGAAGGCAGGGGAUCUAGGUGGAAAAUGUGCCUGCAGGAAUAGAAAUCGAAGGGAAGAAGGAACCACCAACUCAUGUAAAGCAGCUGCUCCUGAAGUUCCAGCAAGUAUUCCAGGAACCUGGAGGUCUGCCACCGACACGAAGCAUUGAUCAUGCAAUCAGAUUGAAGGAGGGGACAGAGCCAGCGAAUGUCAGGCCAUAUAGAUACCCGCACAUUCAGAAAAAUGAGAUAGAAAGGUUGGUGCAAGAAAUGCUGGCAACAGACAUCAUUCAACCCAGCAUAAGCCCUUUCUUUAGUCCUGUGCUACUGGUAAAAAAGAAGGAUGGUAGUUGGCAUUUUUUCAUCGACUAUCGGGCCCUAAACAAAGCCAUUUUCCUGGAUAAAUUCCCUAUCCUAGUCAUAGAUGAAUUAUUGGACGAGCUGCACAGGGCAACUAUCUUUUCAAAAUUGGACUUGAAGUCGGGCUACCAUCAGAUUAGAGUGUUGAGGGAAGAUGUGCAUUCAGAACACACGAGGGACACUAUGAAUUUCAAUGCACCGGAAACUUUUCAGUCUCUGAUGAAUGAAGUGUUCAGAAGCUAUUUAAGGAAGUUUGUCUUAGUGUACUGGUUUAUAGCAAAGAUGUGGACUCACAUGUGCAACACUUGGAGCUAGUGUUCCAAGCUUUGACUUCACACCAGUUAUACGUAAAUGUAAAGAAAUGUCUGUUCGCUCAAGCUCAAAUUGAAUAUUUGGGGCAUCUGGUUUUGGCGAAAGGGGUUGCAGCUGAUCCUAGCAAGGUAGAUGCAAUGAUAAGGUGGCCAACACCUCGGACUCUUAAGGAACUUCGAGGAUUUCUAGGGCUGACAGGAUAUUACCGGAGGUUUGUGUCUGGCUAUGGGGCACUAUCAUGGCCCCUCACACAACAACUUAAGAAAGAUGCCUUCAUGUGGAAUCAAGAAGCAGAGGAAGCCUUUCAACAACUUAAGAAGACAAUGACCACAGUCCCCGUGUUAGUACUACCGGAUUUUCUAAAGUUUUUACAGUCAAAACCGACGCAUCGGGUCAUGGUCUAGGGGCUGUUCUGAUGCAAGACUAGCGGCCAAUUGCCUACUACAGCCAAGUUCUAUCUGCACGGUCUCAGUAGAAGUUCGUUUACGAAAGGGAGCUUAUGGUAAUAGUGUUAGCUAUACAAAAGUGGAGGCACUAUCUAUUGGGACGCAGAUUUGAAGUCCGAACAGACCAACGCAGCCUUAAGUACUUAGUAGAGCAGUGGGUGGUACCAGGGGAGUUCCAACAUUGGGUGACCAAGCUCAUGGGGUAUAACUUUGAGAUUUAAUACCGGUCGGGUAUGGAAAACAAGGUAGCCGACGCCUUGUCCCGAAUUCCUUCUCCAGUUGAACUUGUAGCCAUCUCACUUCUAGUUUUUAAGGAUGUAUAGCUAGUUCAAAAGCAGAUAGGGGCAGACCCAUGGCUUGCAAAGAUCAGAAAGGAGCUGCAAGACGGCUCCAAAUCACACCCCCAAUUCUCGCUUGAGCAAGGCAGACCGCUAUACAAGGGAUGCCUGGUACUUCCAACCUCUUCCUCGCUGAUUCCAACUUUGCUAAAUGAGUUUCACACUAGCAGCAUUGGAGGGCACUCAGGUUUUCUGCGUACUUACAAGCGACUGUCAAGAGAUGUGUUUUGGCGGGGAAUGAAGAAGGACAUUAAAAGGUUUAUAGAGGAAUGCCCUGUAUGUCAACAGAAUAAAACACUGGCAUUAUCUUCCGCAGGUCUUCUCCAACCACUGCCAAUUCCUCAAUAGGUUUGGGAAGACAUAUCAAUGGACUUUAUCGAAGGAUUGCCGAAAUCUAAGGGGUUCGAUUCCUUGUUGGUAGUGGUUGACAGACUAAGUAAAUAUGCUCACUUUCUACCACUCAAGCAUCCUUUCACAGCAUCAGGGGUUGCAUGUCUUUUUUAUUAAAGAAGUAGUUCGGCUCCAUGGCAUUCCCAAUUUUAUCGUUUCAGAUCGAGACAAAAUCUUCAUGAGUCACUUCUGGACUGAAAAUUUCCACCUGCAGGGAACAUAUCUCCGAUGAAGUACGGCAUAUCACCCUUAGACAGACGGAGGUAAUUAAUAGGUGUUUGGAAACGUAUCUCCACUGUUUCUCUUUCGACAAGCCUCGAAAUUGGUCUAUUUGGGUACCCUGGGCAGAAUACUAGUACAAUACAACUUUUCAUGCUUCUACAAACACAACUCCAUUCAGGGCAAUCUAUGGAAGAGAUCCUCCACCAUUAAUCCGCUAUGGACGACAAAGCACAGUGAUACAGUCGGUAGAGCAACAGUUGCAAGACAGAGACAACAUUUCAGAAGAACUAAAGAACCAUCUCAACCAUGCUCAAGAAAAAAUGAAGGAAGCAGCGGACAAGCAUCAUCGUGAUGUUCAAUUGGCUAAGGGGGAUUUGAUCUACAACAAGCUCCGACCCUAUUGCAUUCGCUCAUUCGCAAACAAGCCAAAUGAGAAACUUGGUCCUAAGUAUUUUGGUCCAUUUGAGGUCCUGAAACGUAUUGGACAGGUAGCCUACCAGUUGAAACUUCCUCCCUCUUCAUCAAUACACCCUGUUUUUCAUAUCUCACAGUUAAAGAAGGCGUUGGGACAAAGGAUGGCCAAUCCACUAAUCCCUCCUCAGCUCAGCUCCGACAUCGAGUGGGUAGUGGAGCUUGCACAAGUCUUGGGAAUACGACAAGCACCACCAGAACGACUCCCAGGAAAGGAAGUCUUGAUUCUUUGGAAGGACUUGCCCAGGUCAGAGGCUUCCUGGGAAUCAGUUAACUCACUCAUCCAGCACUUUCCCAACUUCUACCUUGAGAACAAGGUGCCUUUGGAAACUGGGGGUAAUGAUAGACCCCCCUCCCUCCCCGCGUCCAAUUCACAUAUUCUAGAAGGCCAAGGAAGGUUGGGCUACCAGCUGGUGAGAAGGGAAACUAACGUUUGUUAGGGAGGAAAUUCUGUUAGAGAAAGUUGUUAGAAGUAGGCUAUAAAUAAAGGUAGGGAAUAGCCUUGAAAAGCAGGCAAAAUUAGAGUAAGGAAGGAGGUUCUGUAAUCGUUCAUAUGUUUUUCGACAAUUAAAUGCAAUCCAUAUUUUCCCAAAAUCAGUCUUCUCUUUAGAUUCCCAUCACAAGUCAAGUGGCUGGAUGAAGAACGACUUCGUGAACUGAGAGAGGAGAAAGAUGAUGUAAGUCAAGCUUAUUUUAGGUUGAGAUUUAUUCUUCUUUUACUGCGUAUCUACUUACUUUUCAAGUGUAUACAAAUUAGCUAUAUACAUAUACAUAUGUGUGUACAUACUGCAGCAUGUUUAUACUCUUCUUAUAUGCAAUUGGUUGAUAUUUUGGGAAGGGGGGAGAUUGCAC
rnacentral:lncRNA from 1 species